GACACUUUAUGGUCUAAUUGCCGAUUGGCAGUAGAGCAGAUUGGUUAUGAAUGUGGACUCUGUAGCCUGGAGGCCUAGACUUGAAUUCCAAUUGUGUCAUUCACUAGCUGUGUGACUCAGGAUGCAUUAUUUAAUCUCUCUGUGCCUUUGUUAUCUGUAAAAUAGAAAUAAUAGCAAUGCUUACCUCAUAGGGUUUUUGUAAAGUUUCAAAUGUGUUAAUACAUUUAAAGCGCUUAAAACAGUGCCUUGCAU
rnacentral:lncRNA from 10 species